AGAAUCAACGCUGGCGGCGUGCCUAACACAUGCAAGUCGAACGCGAAAGUCCCGCAAGGGAUGAGUAGAGUGGCAAACGGGUGAGUAACACGUGGGUGACCUGCCCUCGAGCGGGGGAUAACGUCCCGAAAGGGACGCUAAUACCGCAUGACAUCCUGCCUUUGAACAGGCGGAGAUCAAAGCUGGGGAUCGCAAGACCUAGCACUCGAGGAGGGGCCCGCGCCUGAUUAGCUAGUUGGUGAGGUAACGGCUCACCAAGGCUUCGAUCAGUA
rnacentral:rRNA from 1 species